GAUGAACGCUGGCGGCGUGCCUAACACAUGCAAGUCGAACGAAGCACUGAGACUUCGGUUUUUGUGCUUAGUGGCGGACGGGUGAGUAACGCGUGAGCAAUCUGCCUUUCAGAGGGGGAUAACGAUUGGAAACGAUCGCUAAUACCGCAUAACGUAUUCGGAUGGCAUCAUCUGAAUACCGAAGUAGCAAUCCGCUGAAAGAUGAGCUCGCGUAUGAUAAGAUAGUUGGUGAGGUAACGGCCCACCAAGUCGACGAGCAGUAGCCGGACUGAGAGGUUGAACGGCCACAUUGGGACUGAGACACGGACCAGACUCAUAAGGGAGGCAGCAGUGGGGAAUAUUGCGCAAUGGGGGAAACCCUGACGCAGCAACGCCGCGUGAUUGAAGAAGGUCUUCGGAUUGUAAAAAUCUUUUAUCAAGGACGAAGAAGUGACGGUACUUGAUGAAUAAGCUCCGGCUAACUACGUGCCAGCCGCCGCAGUAA
rnacentral:rRNA from 1 species